UACGGAGGGGGCUAGCGUUGUUCGGAAUUACUGGGCGUAAAGCGCACGUAGGCGGCUUUGUAAGUUAGAGGUGAAAGCCCAGGGCUCAACCCUGGAAUUGCCUUUAAGACUGCAUCGCUUGAACAUCGGAGAGGUAAGUGGAAUUCCGAGUGUAGAGGUGAAAUUCGUAGAUAUUCGGAAGAACACCAGUGGCGAAGGCGACUUACUGGACGAUUGUUGACGCUGAGGCGCGAAAGCUGGGGGAGCGAACAGGGA
rnacentral:rRNA from 1 species